rnacentral:rRNA from 1 species
CCGCGUGCGGGAUGAAGGCCUUCGGGUUGUAAACCGCUUUUGAUUGGGAGCAAGCCUUUUGGGUGAGUGUACCUUUCGAAUAAGCGCCGGCUAACUACGUGCCAGCAGCCGCGGUAAU